rnacentral:ncRNA from 1 species
UAUCAAUCUAUGACGAGGAGAGUAAAUACAUAAUUUGAUUUUUAGCGAGUUUGGGGAUGGUGAAAGCCCAGUAUGAUAUGUGUAUUGAAGAACACCUUUGAGAUGCUAACCGAAAUGCAAAAAGUAGACUUAGCCGGUAGUCAACCGUUAAAAUGACUAGAUAUAAAAACAAGUAGAGUUUUUGUAUCAAUAUGAGUGAGCAUUAGCUAAUUUAGGGUGGUACCGCGGAUAAUCCGUUCCUAUA